UCAUUACCAGAGGUGGAAGUAACGAAUUACAACUACUCACGUUACUGUAAUUAAGUAGUUUUUUCGUGUACUUGUACUUUUAUGAGUACAUUUUUAAGUCUGUAAUUUCCCUUGUACUUAAGUACAAAUUAAGGUCAGUAAUGUACUUCGCUACUUUGAAAAUCACAUUCGUUACUAAGUACUUGUAGAAUUUGAAUCAAAUUAAUAUUCAAAUCUUUGACAGCAUUUGGAUAUCCAAUAGAAAUAAUUGAUCGUGGGCGGGCCAAUAAAAACCCUUGUAUUUGAACCGGAAAAAAGCCCGGUCUCUGGAGAGCUAUUCAAUCGAUCCUCGUGCGUCCUUCACUGUGACGUUGUAUUUAGUGUUUUAAUGUCAAAGAACUUUGGCGUUAUGGACGCUGAAUUAAUUAAAAAUUCAGAAGAAAUACCGGAUGAUGAGUGCCCAUGGCUGCACCUGGGAGUUGUUCAAACAGAGGAAGGAAAGGAGACAGCGUGUAAAUGUAAUGCAAACUUUGUUUGCCAUCUGCAGUGAUUUCGGCUUACAAUACUUCAGCCUCUAAUCUCAAAAAGCACAUUAUGGUAAGAAGACUUAUAACCAUGUUUAUUUGAUCGUUUUCGUUUUUAAUGUUGGGUAGACCUCACGAUAAUUUGCCAGAAAACAUCACUUGAAACAUGUAGUUAUGUGACAAAAUGACGUAAUACGCACGAGCGCUUUGUUCCCACGGCUGUGUUCCCAGCAGGUAUUCAACGCCAGACGCGUUGUUGACUUAGGAAAUCUGUCAUAUCUUUGCUUUGUGAAUACCUCUAAAGCCCAUAUACUAGUGACAUAAAUUACUUCCUCACGUUGAUUCUCACGUUCGAAUUUCCAAGAUUGCUGUUGUAAGAAGAAAGUUAUAAGCGAAGCAAAAUUUCUCUCGUGUUUGGCAUUGAAAUCCUCUAUGAAGGGGAGUAUUUUUUUGUUUCAAACCAAAUUCUUUUGAUAGAAUAUACAUUUAACUUGAAUUAGGUGAAGUUUGGGAUUGAUUGUAACAUUCGCAUGUGCUUUUUUAAGAUCCGCAAGUGACGUGUUGUCAAAAGCAGAAUCGCCCAUUCAAUCAUUUUGGCUUCCAAAAAUUCUCCGUUUUCAUUGAUCCGUGCAUUAUUUUUUAAAGUAAUCAUACAGAACGAAGCAUUAGAAUCUCUAGAUUACAUUAUUGGCAUAAUUUUGUCAAACAUAUAAAUAAAUACAUGCAUGCAACAUGCAUGCAUUUAUUGAAUUAUUAUUAAUGAUAAAUAACAUAAUCAUCAAUUAAUGUAUUAAUAAUAUCUGACCAUUUAAAUUGCUCGCCAGCAUUAUUAUUCAAUUAAGAAAUAUUAAAGAAACAAUGAAAUGUUUCUUUAAUAUAUAAAAAUACAGCUUUUAUUUGAGAGGGCUUUGAUUUCAUAUGGAAAGAUAUGCGUGGAUUGAUGCUCUCGGUUUCAUUAAUUAGUGGUUAAUCAAGAAUAAUAACAUUUAUAUAUAUAUCUUUUAAAAAGAUGUCAUCUUAAUCUUGGGCUUUUAAUUACAUACAAUGUGGUGUUUGAAUUAUGCAAAUAGACCAAGAAAUGAGAAAGUUAUGAUAUUUUAAAGUGUUUGGUCAAGCGGACGUUUUUCAUAGUUUUAUCGUUUUAAUUGGGUACAAAAAUGCCCCCUAAUUUUCGAGUUAAAAAAAUUCCAUAACUUUCUUAAUAAUUAUCCGAUUUUAAUAAUUUAAAAACCAUGUUAAAGUUCUUUUUAUUAUCUAUCAUAUGGUUAUAAUUAUAUAUGUAUUUAUAUUUUUUGUCACAUACCUAAAACAUGAGCUUCAAUUACCUAGGUGACGAGCACGUAGACCGUAAAAAAAGAUUUAACAUUGUAAAAUGGCGCUCAAAGUUAAAUUUCAUGUCAUUGUCAACAUUGUAUUAUUCAUAUUGAAUCAGUGUUUUAAGCUUAUAAUAAUAAACAGUCUAAUAAGGACUCUUUUAUCAAAUUAGUCUGUUGCCGCGUCCCACUGGCGUAGCAGUGUAACUGCACUGACAGCCUGUCUAAAUUACACAUAUGUCAGUGCUAAAUCAUAAAUGCUGAUAACUUUUGAAAUAUUGUAGUGUACUUUUGGAAAGCUUUCUUGUCCAAUAAUAUUUUUUAACUCUUUUCCCCGCCAUUGACGAGUUAUCUUGUCAAUUAAGAAAAAAAACAUUUGCAUAAAACGUGUUUCUGAAGAAUUUAUGUUAAUGUGCAAUACCGCGAUUGUCCACUAGAUAGCGGACUUACCCAAUUUAUGGAUAAACUGAAGCCAAAACGUUAUUUACUAAUUUUAUGUUUGAUAUUCGUUCUGAAUCUGAUCUCUAACUAAAUUCCUUCACAAAAAUGCAAUUGUUUCAGCUUUUUGCUAAAAAAAAUGUGUAUUUGUAAAGAAUAACACCAAUAUUUAAGAGUUUAUAAGCAGGGAAAAAAUAGGAUGGAACGGUUUUUCACUUUUUUUAUUGUUUGUUUGAAAGUAGAGGGUCUGUUCUUUCAUUUGAUCUAUAUAUUUUUAGAAGAAAAAUUUCCUGGAAGGCAUUUUGUAAAACUUUUGUGAAAAUCAUAAAAAAUGCUGGCGGGCAACUUUUCGAAAAAUGGCUGGCGGGGAAUGAGUUAAUGUAAAAAAAUCUGUUUUUAAAUAAAAUAACCCAACAAGCUUA